rnacentral:rRNA from 1 species
CCUACGGGAGGCUGCAGUGGGGAAUAUUGGACAAUGGGGGCAACCCUGAUCCAGCCAUGCCGCGUGUGUGAAGAAGGCCCUCGGGUUGUAAAGCACUUUCAGUGAGGAAGAACGCCUGGUGGUUAAUACCCAUCAGGAAAGACAUCACUCACAGAAGAAGCACCGGCUAACUCCGUGCCAGCAGCCGCGGUAAUACGGAGGGUGCGAGCGUUAAUCGGAAUUACUGGGCGUAAAGCGCGCGUAGGUGGCUUGAUAAGCCGGUUGUGAAAGCCCGGGCUCAACCUGGGAACGGCAUCCGGAACUGUCAAGCUAGAGUGCAGGAGAGGAAGGUAGAAUUCCCGGUGUAGCGGUGAAAUGCGUAGAGAUCGGGAGGAAUACCAGUGGCGAAGGCGGCCUUCUGGACUGACACUGACACUGAGGUGCGAAAGCGUGGGUAGCAAACAGGAUUAGAUACCCGGGUAGUC